rnacentral:rRNA from 1 species
UACGUAGGGGGCAAGCGUUGUCCGGAAUCAUUGGGCGUAAAGAGCGUGUAGGCGGCCCGAUAAGUCCGCUGUGAAAGUCCAGGGCUCAACCCUGGGAUGCCGGUGGAUACUGUCGGGCUCGAGUCCGGAAGAGGAGUGUGGAAUUCCUGGUGUAGAGGUGAAAUGCGCAGAUAUCAGGAGGAACACCAAUGGCGAAGGCAGCACUCUGGGACGUGACUGACGCUGAGACGCGAAAGCGUGGGGAGCGAACAGG